rnacentral:rRNA from 1 species
UACGAAGGGGGCUAGCGUUGCUCGGAAUCACUGGGCGUAAAGGGUGCGUAGGCGGGUUUUUAAGUCAGAGGUGAAAUCCUGGAGCUCAACUCCAGAACUGCCUUUGAUACUGAAAGUCUUGAGUAUGGGAGAGGUGAGUGGAACUGCGAGUGUAGAGGUGAAAUUCGUAGAUAUUCGCAAGAACACCAGUGGCGAAGGCGCUCACUGGCCCAUAACUGACGCUGAGGCACGAAAGCGUGGGGGAGCAAACAGG